AUUGAACGCUGGCGGCAGGCCUAACACAUGCAAGUCGCACGAGUGGCGGACGGGUGAGUAAUGUCUGGGAAACUGCCUGAUGGAGGGGGAUUACUACUGGAAACGGUAGCUAAUACCGCAUACCAUCGGAUCUGCCCAUAUGGGAUUAGCUAGCAGGUGGGGUAACGGCUAACCUAGGCGACGAUCCCUAGCUGGUCUGAGAGGAUGACCGGCCACACUGGAAAUGAGACAGGGUGCAAACUCCUACGGGGGGCAGCAGUGGGAAAUAUUGCACGAUGGGGGAAAGCCUGAGGCAGCAAAGCCGAGGGUAGGAAGAAGGACUUAGGGUUGGAGAGUACUUACAGCGGGAAGGCGUUACUCGCAGAAGAAGCACCGGCUAACUACGUGCCAGCAGCCGCGGUAAUAC
rnacentral:rRNA from 1 species